rnacentral:rRNA from 1 species
CCUACGGGGGGCUGCAGUAGGGAAUCUUUCACAAUGGGCGAAAGCCUGAUGGAGCAACGCCGCGUGCAGGAUGAAGGCCUUCGGGUUGUAAACUGCUUUUAUAAGCGAGAAAUAUGAUGGUAACUUAUGAAUAAGGAUCGGCUAACUACGUGCCAGCAGCCGCGGUAAUACGGGGGAUGCGAGCGUUAUCCGGAUUUAUUGGGUUUAAAGGGUGCGCAGGCGGAAUGUCAAGUCAGCGGUAAAAUUUCGGGGCUCAACCCCGUCGUGCCGUUGAAACUGGCGUUCUUGAGUGAGCGAGAAGUAUGCGGAAUGCGUGGUGUAGCGGUGAAAUGCAUAGAUAUCACGCAGAACUCCGAUUGCGAAGGCAGCAUACCGGCGCUCAACUGACGCUCAUGCACGAAAGCGUGGGUAUCGAACAGGAUUAGAUACCCCAGUAGUC